AAACCAGCGCCCUGUCUCUCAGUAACGUGGCAGGGGUCUUCUAUAUCCUGGUUGGAGGUCUGGGUCUGGCCAUGAUGGUGGCUCUGGUAGAGUUCUGCUACAAGAGCCGUGCUGAGGCCAAAAAAAUGAAGGUGGCAGCCAACACAUUGUCCUCCCCCCAGCACACAGGAAACUACACACACACUUUGUCUUCUCCUCAACAUGCCCCCAACUUCAACCUGCUGUCCCCCAGCCACCAGCCAAACUACGCCACCUAUAAAGAGGGCUACAACGUUUACGGCAUUGAGAGUGUCAAGAUCUAACACGGAUGAAAUUCACAGAUGCGAUGCGCUCCAAAGCUCGUCUAUCCAUCACAGGAUCGACCGGUGAGAAUGGCCGUGUCCCGGUGGCUUACCUCCGUCCAGGAUUACCCAUGAGCCUCAGCAUGACUGACCUGUCCUGACCUGACCCAUGCCAGUGCCUUACAGCCGCACCACACAUCCUCCUGCCCUCUGACAGUGAGUGGAAAUGCUUGUCAUCUCCGUUGGUGACCAAUUACCACUGAUCUACACUGAUUUUCAAUCUGGAGUUUCCCAAUCAUAUCACGCUGAGGACUCCUGAUCUUACUAUUUAUUUUUUCGCCUACAAAGACUGGACACAAGUUGUCCCCCCACCACUGGCUGUCAGGUUUUAGAAAAGACCUGCCAACCUACAAAGUGAAUCACUGAACCAUCAGCAAAAAGAUGGCUGGUCAUUUAUAAUUCAUAAAAAAACUAUUAAGCACAGUGGACAGUUUUUUAAACAAACACAUCAUUGUUUCGUAGAUUUUUGCCAUGGAGGACAACAGUGAUGCUGACGUUAAUGCAAUAACAAGAUUAAUCAGGGAUGUGAUCAGGAAUUGUGUGUAUAAAAAAAGAGUCUUGGUUAAAGUGCUUUGAACAAAGACGGAUGUCCUGAAAAAAUCACAUCCAUGAAAUAAUAGUAAAUGUAAUAACAGAUUAUGAUAAUGGUGUUAUUGUUCUUAAUUGUUUUUCUUAAUUCUGCCUGAAAAUUCCUAAUUAGUAGUCUUUUACCAAACCCAAGGGAUGCAUGGACUGAUAAACACACACACACACACACACACACACACA